UAAAACAACUAUUCCCGAGCUAGCAAAAAGUUCUGAGAACAGCAUUUCUUCACUCAAGAGGCGUUUUGGGAUCUCAUCGACUUGAGCUUGGCAGCUUGAAGUUCCUAGGUAAGAGAGGUCUUUACCGUUUGUUUUUUUGUGUAACAAUUUGGCACAAGAUCUUGUAUCACAACAUAGGAGCCGAGCUUUUGAGUUUAUUAGAUUAAUAGUCGCAAUUAUAUGCCUUAAGUUUGUGCUUAUUGUCUUGCGGCAGGAUUCAAAUGCAUAGAUAUAUUACUGGAAAUUGUGAAGAGAAGCCAUCUGAGGGUUCUCUACUGCAGCAACUUGUAUUACUGAGCUAGCUAAAACUAUUCUUUUGUGAUGGUUAAUGAAUCCACUUGGUAUAUGUGCA
rnacentral:lncRNA from 1 species